GGAGAGGUGGCCGAGCGGUCGAAGGCGGUCGACUCGAAAUCGACUAGGCGGUGAUGAGCCGUCUCGUGGGUUCAAAUCCCACCCUCUCCGCCA
rnacentral:tRNA from 2 species